AUCUACUAUGAAAGUACAUUUUUAGUGCAAGAUAUAAACACUUCAUAGUCAAAAGAGGUGGAAUAUAUUAAAGUAACCACAUUCUGCAAUUCCCCAAAUAGGUAACAUGUAUACUUGGUAAACAGACAAAAUUUUCUGCUUUCAGAUGGUGUCCGGAAUUUCAAAUAAUACUGAGUUAUGGGAAUUGCCACAGAAUGUAAACACCAUGAGAACACAGGCUUUGUCUGCCACAUUUAUUGCUGCAUUUGCAGCAUGUAGAAUGGUGACUGACAUAUAAGAAGUACCAAUUAAACAUUUGUGGAUGAGUCAAUGAAGAAACUGUAAGUAGUUGGAUGUUUUUAUAGCUGAAAAUUAUGAAAGUGGGUAUGUUGUAUGUUAUACGGGCAAUUAAAUAGUGUUAGAAGUCUUUUGAUUGCAAUCAUCAUUCCAGUGAUGGUCGAAUAACAUGGAAUACCAUAAUCAGGAAUUAUCACCUUAAAGAUUGAUUACUUAACAUUGAUCAUGUGGCUGGGCAAGGUGGCUCAUGCCUGUAAUUCCGGUGCUUUUGGAAAGCUAAGGCAAGAGAAUGGCUUGAGGCUAGGAGUUCGAGACCAGCCUAGGCAACAUAGUGAGACUCUGUCUCUGUCAAAAAAUUAAAACAAAUUAGCUGGGAAUGGUGGUGUGUGCCUGUGUCUCAGCUGCUCAGGAGGCUGAGGCAGGAGGUUCGCUUGAGCCCAGGAGUUCAAGGCUACAGUGAUCUACGACCACAUGACUGCACUCCAGCCUGGGUGACAAAGUGAGAUACUGUAUCUAAAAAAUAAAUAAGUACAUAAAAAUAACUUAAAAAUAAAUAAAAGCAUGUUAUUUAAUGGGUGUAUAAUAUUCUACCUUAUGCAUCUAUCUUAACACUUCCAUUAUUGGAUAUUUGCAGUGUUUUUCAUUUCUGCAAUUAAAAACAAUAUUCUGGAGAAUAUCAAUAUCAAUUAAUAAUAAUAAUACUGUCGAAUAAUUGCUUUCAGUACCUUAAGCUAUGAAAUAAGCAAAAUAAGGAUUGUAGUAGCUAUGGCAUACCAAGUAAGUACUAUAAAACUCAGUUCUUUGGAUGCCAUCUAAAUGAGUUUACACAAAGUAGAGCUAGAAAGUCUGGGUCACUGAUUGACACCAUGGCAAGAAGGAUGUCUUCUUAUAUUUAAAUGUAAGGUUGAAUAGGUUGAAAAUGCCACUUUCAGCAAAGGUGGGAAGAUCGCUUGUGCCCAGGAGUUUGAGGUUAUAGUGAGCUAUGAUCUCGCCACUGCAUUCUAGCCUGGGUUGAGAGAGUAAGACCUUGUCUCUUAAAAAAAAACAAAAAAACGGCCGGGCACAGUGGCUCACGCCUGUAAUCCCAGCACUUUGGGAGGCCGAGGUGGGUGGAUCACGAAGGUCAGGAGAUCAAGACCAUCCUGGCUAACAUGGUGAAACCCCAUCUCUACUAAAAAUACAAAAAAAUUGUCCGGGCGUGGUGGCGGGUGCCUGUAGUCCCAGCUACUGGGGAGGCUGAGGCAGGAGAAUGGCGUGAACCCGGGAGGCGGAGCUUGCAGUGAGCUGAGAUCGCGCCACUGCGCUCCAGCCUGGGCGACAGAGCGAGACUCCGUCUCAAAAAAAAAAAAACAGAAAAGAAAAAGAAAACAUUGGUCAUCUUUAACAAAAGCUACACCACAGGGUCUACUUGUCUUCAGGAACAUAAGAAAUAAAUUUUUGUUAUUGAAAUGAAUGGUGUUUAAGGUAGGCAAUUGUUAGAAAUGAUGUAUAAGACCCACUUGCUCCUGCAUGAAGGAGGUUUUAGAGUUCAGCAAAAGCUAGGAGUCUAGAGCCACGUUGGUCUUAUGUACCUAAAUUUCUCAGUCUUCUGCUGCCCAGUCUGACUGUAGAGCACCCUAGUCCUACCAGUGACUCCUACAUUGCGCCUUCUUGAAAAUGUGCUUUUCAUGUAAAGUACUAGUCUUUGGGUUUAGGUCAGAGAGUGGGAUCUCCCAGAGCUAUCGAAUAGAUUAUAUAGUUUUUUUUUUUUUUUGCCUCCUUUCUAAUGAACAUUUGUGCAUUGUAUGUAAUUUAACUUGAUACUUUAUUUUGUUGUAACUACUAUCUAAUAGCCAAGAUUUGGGAGAGAGAACAUGUAGUUUUCACAUAUCUUUUACCACCAGAUGCUACAAUAUUUACAAAAACAAAACAAAACAAAACACAACUUGGCAUUUGCUGUAUUAUCCAAAUUGUUUUCACUCAUCUGCAACACAUAGAAAUGGCUUAAAAAGAAAGGUAGAAUAGCUUUAGCUUUAUUCUGAGUUGGUGAAGAGCCACUAAAGAGUUUAAAAGAUGUGAGUGAGUGACAUCAUAAGUUUUGAAUUUUAGAUGUCAUUCUUGUAACCGUGUGGACAAAGGACCUAAGGAGGAGAAGAGACCGAAGGCUGGGAGAUUAGUUAGAAAGGUUUUAAUUUGGGUAAGAAACAAAACAGGCAGUGAUUGCAGGAGAGAAAAGGAGGGGACAGAUUAUAAAAGUAUACACAGUAUUUAGAAUAGGUAAGUGAUUAAAUAGGUUAAAGAAGGUACAGAAAAAGGAGAAAUCAUAGAUGCCUCCUAGGUUUCUAGCUUGUAUAAUGGGGCAUGAUGGUGGGAUCAAAUGCAAUAAAUAGGGAAUAGAAGAGGAAGUGCAGGCAUUUGUAUUUAUUUCUUGAGUUUUUGUUUGUUUUGUUUUCUCUUAUUUGCUUCCUUAUUCUGUCAGCUUCCUUUAUUUGCCAAAUUCCAUUUUAACACCCUGACUUCCUGACUGGCUUCUCUGUAGCUAUGGUAAAUGUUUACUUUUCAGUCCCCUUUGAGCUAUGUCUACUCAUACAUCAUUUUGACAAUAAACAAAAUAAAACAAUAGUUAAAUUCAACUAAAAGUGGCUGUUGAAAAGAACAACAUUGAAAUAAAACAACGUUGAAUUGCAACAAUUUGUCGGUGACUCAUUAGCACCAUCAACAUUAAAGUCAACAAAUAUUUGAAUGCCAACUCAAUGCCAAGCACUGUCCUGGGCUCUUUAGAAACAAAGACCCAAAGCAGUUCAAUAAAGUGGAGAGAGUGGUGAUUUUGGAGUUAUAACUGGAUUGGAUUUCUCCUUCCAUUACCUACUGGGUUUGUGACCUUGAGCUAGUGGUUAGCUCCUCAGGGUCUCAUUUAUUUCCAUUUGUAAAAUGAGGAAGAAUGCAUAAUAGAGAUAUCGUUCAGCUGUCAUCUUAAGUGAGAUAAAAAAUCCAACUUAGCCCAGUAGCUGACAUGUUGUAAGCACCUGAUAAAUGUUAGCUGCUAUGGAAAUAUACUCAUAACUGUACUCUCAAGAAGCUUACAGUCUAUUACAUAUGUUUUUUUAUAUAAGCCUCUUACAUCAUUUUUAUGAUUAAUUCAGAGAAUAGCAUAGCAUUGGAUCAUAUUCUUAUCACAGAGAGGGCAUAAUGAUUCAAAAUGGUAGUACCUCAUAGUCUUAGAGCAGCAUGUUUUUCAAAACUCUGAAUAUAAUCAAGUAUAACAUUUCAAGUCUUUGAGACUUACUUGAAUGAUCUAAUGAAGAAAAUGAAAAAACACAAACUCCUUUAGAAUAGUAAUAAAAACAUGAUAUAUUACAAACAGUUAAAGUAUGUUAAUUGGCUAUAAUGUAACACCAAGGGUGUGGUGGGGUUUGGAUGAGAGGGGAAAGAAAAGAACUUUAAAAAGCAGAAUUACAUGAGGUAAUACAAACCCAGAGUAAUGAGAGUUUCUGCCAGAUUGGGUUAUAAUGAACACACUGUGUUUUAAUGAAGCUAGUAACUGAGUAUCUUAUUAGAUUUCACUAGAAUCCAUUGCAGGCCAUUUUAUGGUAGCCCAGUUAAGAUCUUUUAUGAGUUUAGAAUUCUGCCAGAUAUUUUGAAAAAGAAAACCUAACUUUAUUACUCUACUUCCAGCAUAUAAUUUGCUUGAGAUGUUUGUCAGUAGUUAAUAAACCAUAUUUUUCCUCAACUCAAUAUUUUUAUUAUAAUAAAUGAGGAAAAAUGUUGAAAAAUAAAAAUAUGCACCUAAAAUAUUCUUGCUUUCACAAAAUCAGAAGGACUAAAUUUUAAGUGAAGCAUAUGUUUUUGUAAAGUUUUAAGUUAAAAGAAUAAAAAUAAAAAGGCUUUUGGCUUAGAUUUUCAAAACUCAGUAGGAUUUUGCAAAGUACAAAUUUAUAUAUUUCAUGCAAACUUGGGUAAACUCUGCAGAAUAGCAAAUUCCAGUAAAACAGAUGGCAGUGACUCCUGGGUUGAUUUGUCCAAGUGAUGCUUUUCAACAUUCAGCAAUAGAUUCUUUGACCAUCCACAUGGAAGGCCAGUGCUUGGUGAUGCUAUCCAGCUGGCAAGUUCUUUCUUUGUUGUCUACUAUUCCUGGUUUUGUAGUCUUUCCCAGACUUUCAGCUACCUCUCAUUUAUUGACAGUCAUAAGUUCUGGCUAUGCUGCUAUCCACAUAUCUUCUCAGUAGAGAGUAACUCACAUGAAUAAUAUGUUAUUUUCUCAAGGGUAUUUUAUUUCACAAGUUAAUGCUUCAAGAACAUUUACUGAGCACAAAACAAAAAUGUACACAUUUAGUUUCAGACUUGGACAGUUUUAAUGGAGCAUUGGAUAUCUGUAUAUAUCCUAAUCUGAUUUUUUUUUUUUUUUUUUUUUUGAUGGAGUCUUGCUCUGUCUCCCAGGCUGGAGUGCAGUGGCUCAAUCUUGGCUCACUGCAACUUCCCCUUCCCGGGUUCCAGCGAUUCUCCUGCCUCAGCCUCCCAAGUAGCUGGGAUUACAGGUGUGCACCACCACACCCGGCUAAUUUUUGUAUUUUUAGUAGAGGUGGGGUUUCACCAUGUUGGUCAGGCUGGUCUCAAACUCCUGAGCUCAAGUGAUCUUUCCACUUCAGCCUCCCAAAGUGCUGAGAUUACAGGCGUGAGCCACCAUGCCCAGCCCUCUAAUCUGAUAUUUUAUCAUCAGUGGCCAAUUCAAGGCUCUAACCAUGUCCAGAAUUAAUAUUAUUCUUCUUCACAUGCCUUCUCAAUCACCAUCCAAGGUAGAGUCACAGUCACUUCUCUGCAUCAUUCAGGAAUGCUUUGUCUAAUGGCCUUUAAAUUGGACAUUUCCUGCUUAGGGUGGAAAUGGAAGGAUGGGAAAGAGGUGGUAUUUGUAUGAGCCAAGUGAACCCCUAAACAGACAAUUCCAUUAUUUAUAAAGCCAUGCCCAAAUUUUAAAUCAAGAUGAAGAUAUGAAUUUGUCAAUGUUAUUGAUACUGUCAAGAAGUAGAGUUAGUGGACUUAAUGAUAGUGUUUUAUAUAAUGGAGGUCCAAGUCAGACAGGAAAAUAAGUGAAAACAUUUCAUCUAUUUUUGAUGUAUUGUAGGGGGAAGAAGAGGAAGAGAGACAGAGAAAGGUGGUCCGAUGUUUGUCCAAUCACCCUUCUCUGGGUAAAAGUCCUGGAGGGAGAGGUUUAUUAGAUAAGCUGAAGGGAAUAAAAAGGACAUGAAACUUCUGUUCCACUUCCUACUUGGAACUCUUCAAAGAAGCAGUUUUACCACCUACCUCUGGCCCCUGCCUAAUUAUACCAGCUUUGAGAGUCAGAGGAUCAACGGCCUACUACUCAUAUCAACUUUUUCUUUCCCUGGGAAAAUAGACCUCACGGGUAGGUUUAAGAAGUGGAAUACUUCAACAGAACAUGAUUAAAGAUGGGCAAAUGAAUACAAAUACCCCCUACCAGAAAUUAGCAAGUGUUGGCAAGGAUGCGGAGAAAUUGGAGCCUUUGUGCACUGUGGAUAGGAUUGUAAAAUAGUGUAGCCACUAUGGAAAACAGCAUAAACAAAGCUGUAGUAAUCAAGACAGUGUGUUACUGUCAUAAAGGCAGACAUAUAGACCAGUGGAAUAGAAUAGAGAGCUCAGAAAUAAAUUCUCACAUACAGGGUCAAAUGAUUUUUGACAAGAUUACUGAGACAUUCAGUGGGGAAAGUAUAGUCCUUUUGACAAACGAUGCUGGGAAAACUGGAUAGGUAAAUACAAAAGAAUAAAGUCGGACUAGUAUCUUACACUAUAUCCAAAAAACCUCAAAAUUGAUCAAACACCUAAAUGUAGUAGAUAAAACUAUAAAACUCUUAGAAGAAAACAUAAGAAGAAAAGAAAAAACUGGGAAGUUGGACUUUAUCAAAAUGUAAAACUUCCAUGUUUCAAACGACACUAUCAGCAGAGUGAAAGAGCAGUCUGUGAAAUGGAAGAAAAUGUUUGCAAAUCAUAUAUUUAAUAAGGGAUUAACAUCCAACAUAUAAAAAAAAAAAACUCGUACAACUCAACAACAAAAACAACCAGAUCGAAAAGUGGGUAAAGGACUUGAAUAAACAUUCAACAUCUGUACAUCUUAUACAGAUGGCCAAUAAACACAAGAAAAGAUUCGCAACAUCACUGAUCAUUAGGGAAAUGCAAAUCCAAACCACAAUAAGAUUCCAUUUCAUACCCAUUAGUAUAGUUAUUAUAAAAAUAAAUGAAUAAAAAUACCCAAAAAACCCAUUGGAAAUUGGCAAAUGUUGGCAAGGAUGUGGAGAAAUUGGAGCCCUCGUGCACUGUGGAUAGGAUUGUAAAAUAAUGUAGCCACUAUGGUAAACAGCAUGGUGGUUCCUCAUAAACGAAACAUACAAUUACUGUAUGAUCCAGCAAUUCUCCUUCUGGGUUUAUACCCCAAAUAAUUGAAAGCCCGGAUUCAAAAAGAUCUAUAUCUAUAGAUAUAGGUAUUGAUAUAGCUCUAUCUAUCUAUCUAUCUAUCUAUCUAUCUAUCUAUCUAUAUAUCUGUGCAACCAUCACCACUAUCCAUCUUCACAACUUUUAUGUUCCCAAAAUAAAACUUUGUACUGGUUAAACAGUAAGCCCCCAUUCCCUCCUUCCUCCAGUCCCUGGUAACCACUAAUCCACUUUCUGUCUCUACGGUACAUACAAAAGAAUAGGUACAUACAAAAGAAUAAAGUCGGACCACUAUCUGACUACUAUCUGAUUGGUCAGGCUACAGUGUGUGUGUGUGUGUGUGUGUGUGUGUGUGUAUACACGUAUACACAUAUGUGUAUACGUGUAUAUACACGUAUACAUAUAUGUGUAUACGUGUAUAUACACGUAUACACAUAUGUGCACACGUGUGUACACGUGUAUAUACAUAUAUACAUGUGUGCACACGUGUAUACAUAUAUGUGUAUGUAUGUGUAUACGUGUAUACAUAUAUGUGUAUGUAUGUGUAUACGUGUAUACAUAUAUGUGUAUGUAUGUGUAUACGUGUAUACGUAUAUAAUGUAUAUGUGUAUACGUGUAUACAUAUAUGUGUAUGUAUGUGUAUAUGUGUAUACAUAUAUACAUAUAUGUGUAUGUGUGUGUAUAUGUGUAUACAUAUAUACAUAUAUGUGUAUGUGUGUGUAUAUGUGUAUACACAUGUAAUAUAUGUGUAUGUAUGCGUAUAUGUGUAUACAUAUAUACAUAUAUGUGUAUGUAUAUGUAUGAAUAUGUGUAUUUGCAUAUAUACAUAUAUGCAUACACAUAUAUACACAGUGACAUUCAUAUAUACAUAUAUGUAUGCAUAUAUACACACACAUUCAUAGUAACAUUAUUCACAACAGCCAAAAGAUGAAAAUAAUUCAAAUGUUCAUUAACAGAUGAAUAGAUAAACAAAAAAUGUGGUAUGUACGUACUAGACUGUUCCUCAGCUUUAAAAUGGAAUAAUAUUCUGGCACAUGCUGCAACAUAGAUGAACCUUGAAGGCAUUAUGUUGAGUGAAAUAAGCUAGUAACAAAAGGAGAAAUAAUUUAUGAUCCCUCUUCUAUGAAGCACCUAGUGAAGACAAAUUCGUAAAGACAGAAAGUGGAGUAGUGGUUACGGGGGCUGGAGGAAGGAGGGAAUGGGGACUUAUUGUUUAAUGAAUAGAAAGUUUUAGUUUGGGAACAUAAAGGUUGUGAAGAUGCAUAGUGGUGAUGGUGGCACAAUAAUAUGAAUAUACUUAAUACUACUGAAUUGUACACUUAAAAAUGGCUAAAGUAGUAAAUUUUAUAUAUAUGUACGUUUAUAUAUAUAUAUAUAAACACAAUAAAAAAGAACAUUAAAACUAAUCAGUUACACACACAGACACACACACACACAUAUAUAUUUUUUAAAUCCUUGUAGAUAAAAGGAGGAGGCAGAGCAAGAUGGCCAGAUAGAAACCCCCAGCAAUUGUCCCCCCUACAAGAACACCAAAUUGAACAACUGUCCAUGAAAGAAGUCACCUUUAUAAGAACCAAAAAAAUCAGGUGAGCAAUAAUAGUACCUGGUUUUAACAUAAUAGCAAGGAAAUAUGCUUUGGAGAGAGUAAAAAGGACAGGCUUGCAUUGCUCACACCACCCUCCCCGAAGCCCAGGUGGUGCAAGAUAGAGAAUCUGUAUGCUUGGGGAGGGGACAGCAAAGUGAGUGUGGGAUAUUGCAUUAGCACUCAGUGCUGCCCUGGUCAUAACAGAACACAAUACAAGGGAGAAUUCUGCCAGUGCCCGUGGAGGGAACAUCUGGACAAGCCCUAAGCCAGAGGGGAAUCUUCUGCUCCACUGAGAGGAAUCCAGGUCCCGGCCAUGGCCACCUUCACUACCAGCUGACUAAAGUGGUUUGGGGCUAUCAGCAAAUUUGACUAGCAGUCAAGACACAAGGAUAGCAGUCCUUGGGCAAGCUCUGGUGCUGAGCUGGUCUAGGAAGCAGUGGACUUGGGAUGGGACCCUGUGCAACACCAGUUGCGGCAGACAUGGGAGUGCCUGUGUCAACCGUCUCUCAACUCCAGGCAGUGCAGCUUGGGGACAGACUCCUUCCACUUGGGAGAAGGAGAGGGAAGAGUACUUUAUCUUGCAACUUGGGAACCAACUCAACCACAGUAAACAAAGUACCAAGGAGAUUUCUUAAGACCCUGAUUUCAGACCUUUGCUCCUUAAUGGCAUUUCUAGACAUACCCUGGGCCAGAAAGUAAUGUGCUCCCAUUCCUGGCAGAAUUCACCACCUGAUGACUAAAGUGGCUUUGGGCUUUGAUUAAAUAUCACCAGCAGCCAGGCAAUAGUGACCAUGAGCCUUGGAAAAACCCCAAUAAUUUGCAGGUCUGGAAGAUGACAUGAAGUGGUGCCCCCGGUAGGGGCCAUGAGUGCCCACAUCAGCCCUCCCUCAAGUGCAGGCAUCCCAGUGCAGAGAGGGGAUCAUUCUGAUUGGAAGAAAGAGAGGGAAGAGAGUACAAGAUGUUGCCUGGUAAGCCAGGGAAUGCUUUAUCUUCCCCAAGUCCACUAAGGCUGUUUAUCAGGAGCGUGCAAGAGUUUCAGCGUUCCUGGGCUUAGGGUUCCCCCUAGUGCUGAAACAGAUGCAGUGUCCACAGGCUUAGGUCACUGCACUAAAUCCCCUAAGAAUUCUUGGAAUGCUCUCUCAAGAAUGGGUACAAACAAGCCCAGACUACAAAGAUUAGAAUAAAUACCAAACUCCUCAAAACCCAGAUAUUGACAAAUGUUCAAAAACAUCAUGAACAUCCAGCAAAUCAUGACUACACCAAAUAGAGUUAAAUAAGGCACCAGUAUCCAAUCCUGGAGUAACAGAGAUAUGUGAUCUCUCAGACAGGGAAUUCAAAAUAGCCAUCUUGAAGAACCUGAAUGAACCUCAGGAUAUCGCAGAGAAGAAAUUCAGAAUUCUAUCAGAGAAAUUUAACAAAGAGAUUGAAAUAAUUUUUAAAAAUUAAGCAGAAAUUCUGGAGCUAAGAAAUUCAGUGGACAAACUGAAAAAUGCAUCAGUCUGCCAACACCAGAACUGAUCAAGCAGAAGAAAGAACUAGUGAGCUUGAAGACAGAUUAUAUGAAAAUACACAAUCAGAGAAGAAAAGGUAAUUUUAAAAAAUGAAGCAUGCCUACAAGAUCUAGAAAAUUGCCUCUAAAGGGGAAAUCUAAGAAUUAUUGGCCUUAAACAUGACAUAUAUAUAGAGAGAGAAUGAAGUAGAAAGUUUAUUCCAAGAAAUAACAGAGAACUUUCCAAACCUAAAGAAAGAUAAGAAUAUCCGGGUAUAAAAAAGUCAAAGAAUGCCAAGCAGAUUCAACGCAAAUAAGACUAGCACAAGACAUAUAAUAAUCAAACUGUCAGAAGUUAAGGAUACAGAAGGAAUCCUAAAAGCAGCAAGAGAAAAGCAAACUACAUAUGAAGGAGCUUCAAUACGUAUGGAAGCAGACUUCUCAGAAGAAAUCUUACAGGACAGGAGGGAGUGGGAGGACAUAUUCAAAGUGCUGAAGGAAAGCAACUUUCAACCUAGAAUAUUAUAUCCAGGAAAAUUACCCUUCACAAAUGAAGGAGAAAUAAAGACUUACCCAGAGAAACAUAAGCUGAAGGAAUUUGUAAACAACAGACAUGUCUUAACAAGAAAUGCUAAAGGGAGUUCUUCAAUUUGAAAGGAAAGAAAAUUAAGGACCAAAAAGAAAUCAUCUGCAGGUAUAAAAAUCACUAGUAAAAGUAAGUACACACACAAAUAUAGAAUACUCUUAACACUGUAAUUGCAGUGUGUAAACUACUCAUAUCUUUAGUAAGAAGACUAAAAGACAAACUUAUCAACAAUAAUAAUUAUAGUAAUUUUUGAAGAGAUUGACAAUAUAAAAAGAUAUAAAUAGAAACAACAAAAAGUCAAAAAGUCGAGGGAUUGUGUUAAAAUGUAGUUUUUUAGUUUUCUUUUUACUUGCUUUUCUUUUUAUCAGAGUUAAGUUUUCAUCCAUUUAAAAUAACUGGCUAUAAAAUGUUCUUUGCAGGUCUCAUGAUAAACAAAAAAUGAAAACCUAUAAUAGAUAUACAAAAAAUAAAAAGCAAUGGAUUGGCUGAGUGCAGUGGCUCAAGCCUGUAAUCCCAGCACUUUGGGAGGCUGAGGCAGGUGGACUGCUUGCGACCAGGAGUUCCAGACCAGCCUGGCCAACAUGGUGAAACCCUCUCUGUACUAAAAAUACAAAAAUUAGCCAGGUCUGGUGGUGUGUGCCUGUAGUCCCAGCUACUCCAGAGGCUGAGGCAUGUAGCUUGAACCUGGAAGGCAGAGGUUGCAGUGAGCUGAAGUUGCGCCACUGCACUCCAGCUUGGGCAACAGAGUAAGACUGUCUCAAAAAAAAAAAAAAAAAAAAGAAAGAAAGAAAAAAAAAGUCCCAGUAAAUUAAAACACACUACCAGAGAUCACUGUCAUGUUAAAAAAAAAAAAAAAAGAUAGGAAGGAAGUGAGAAAGGACGAGAGGACUCACAAAACAACCAGAAAACAGAUAACAAAAUGGCAGGAGUAUGUCCUUACCUAUCAAUAAUAACAUUGAAUGUAAAUGAACUAAAUGCUCCAAUCAAAAGACAGAGUGGCUGAAUGGAUUUAAAAAACCCAAGACCUCAUUAUAUGCUACCUACAAGAAAACCACUUCAUGUAUAAAAAUAAACACAGACUGAAAA